CAGCAAGUGUGGAGCCAAACGACAACAAGAUUCUUAGAGGGCGGAGCCAGAGAGCAGCGAUUGGUCAGACCAUAGAUAAUAUAGAAGACAGCGCGCUAGCGUAUCUAGUCUGUGAGUAUCUAUGGUCGGCACGUCUGGUAGCAUCUCUCGCUGCUGUUUUCCUUGUUUUUGGAGUAAAACACGAUGCACAAUGAGGGACGUCUGCAGAGACUGAGAAAGAGUCUCACCACAUCCUGACAUGAGGAAAAAGACCUUAUUGAAGACUACAAUGAGAAAAACUAUCAGACAGCAGACGGCUGCAUUCAAGGUGAGCUCUGAACAUUUGAUCUGGAACAGGAAUUCAAUAACGGCAGCAUGAACUUCAUUUCAGUCUGUAGCUGCUGAAUUCAUGGAUGAAUCAUCUGGCACUAGAGAAGAAGACCAUCAAACAUCCACAUCAGCUGAUGGAGGUCCAAGAGUCUCACCGAACAACCAACCUACAGAGUGAAGACCUCAAAUCUGAUUGGACGGC
ensembl:lncRNA